rnacentral:lncRNA from 1 species
UUCUACUAAUAAGUGGUAAACAUAAUAGUACCCUUAUCAUUGGGAUGCAAGAUGCUAUAGACUUGGUUAUAUAAUGAGAGAAAAUGGUCCCACCUUUAAUCCAUCAAAAUCAAGUGCUAUAGUAUUCUCAAAAGUAUAUAAAUUAAGAUCUAAAUACUUUCCCCGAUUAUAUAGGAAUGGAAAAGUUAUGAAAUAAGUAACACAAAUGAAGUACCUAGGUGUGGUGUUUGAUCAAGGACUCACUCGACCGAACACCUGAAAGAAAAAGCACCGAAGUGUUCCCGUAUUUGGAACAUGAAAAGGCAGUCAUAUGGCAAUAGUGGGGGUAACGUCAAAUAAAGUUAUUUGGCUUUACUAAGUGUCAUGAUCAGACCCAUCAUCAUCUAUGAGUGUCUUGUAUCGGGCACACCGUUAUUGCAAAGAAAAGUGAAAUAAGGAAAUUAACCGCCAUUCAGAGAAAACCUCUCUUAAGCAUGACUCAUACCCUCCGAUCAACACCAACAACAGGAAUACAGGCAGUGAUAGGCAUAACUCCUUUCGACCAGUACAUACAAGCACAGCAACCAAUGAAGUUGGUUUUUGGUUUUUAUUUCAAGAUGGAGAAAAAGGGAUUUUCUGCGGACACUUGGAAGGGCAUCGGGAUUUUCUAAGGCGUCGUAUGCAUUGUUUCCUUUGCCGUAAAAUACUUGAUCAAGUUGAAUUGAAUAAAGUAAGGGACUACAUCACCGGCAUUCAUAUUUGGGUCGGCAACUGUCAAGUUGAACACCCUGAUACAGUUAUGUAUACAGACGGAUCCAAAGAUGAGAAAGGCUAUAAAGGUGCAUUAUGAGCUAUCACUUGAGCUGACAUGUCAAUUUAUCAAUCAUCAGCAUCAUUAAAUCUGUCUUCAAAGCAUAAAUAAUCGACAUCACACAAUGUUAACCAAGACAACCAUCAAAAAACGUAAUAACUGCAUCCCUUUUAUAUCAAUUCUUUUUGAUAUCCCUACUACAGACCACAUGCCCUUGGUCAACCUCCUCGGAGACAGGAAUUUAGAUGAAAUAACAAACAUGAGACACUUUUGCCUGAAACAAACAACACUGCUAUGGAAAUUCGAAAUUGCACAUGUGGCUGGAGCAAGUUAGAAAGUAGCCGACACAGCUUAAAGAUAUCCUUCUACAAAAUAUCCACAAGAAGAUUACGACCACGAAAUAAUGAAUAUUGAGUUUCUUGUAAUGGCGUCGAUCAAAUCUCAGGUCGAUGAAUUGAAUGUCUUAACGUGGUAACUAAUAUUUGAGGAGAUGGGAAGAAAUCCAACAUUGCACAAAUUGACGUGUAUAAUCAAAUCAUGUUUUCCAAAGGAAGUUGAAGAUAUGGAACAGGAGGUCAGGCAAUUUUUAAUCUAUAAAGAUAAUUUAAACACCUUCUCGGGGGUAUUAUUUAAAAAUACAUCAUUGUAAUCUCUAAGAAUUUGCGUCAAAAGGUUGUAAUGCAACACACUAGGUACAUGACAUCCCACUGCAUGUUUUGAUUCUACUGACCACCCAUAUAUAACGACAUGAAAAGAAAAGGGAACCGUUGCCUUACAUUUUACAAAAUACCACAAUCUCUACAAAAAAUGCUCCCUUCAUAUACUUUCAUUCCUGGCACUCCAUGUGAGACAAUUUAUGCAGACUUCUUCGACCGAAAAAGGAAACACCAUUUGGUGGUUCGAAACUAUCUUUCUGGAUGGUCGGAGGUAUAAUUGCACAAUAGACUGUUCAUAAGUAAAUUUAUAGAACCAUAGCUUAUCCCCAUUCCUAAGGUAGAAUACAUACCCCAAAGCAAAAUUAUCGGCUAAAAUGAUAACGAAACUCACGAACAUCAACCUGAGAUCGAAAUCUUUGAAGGGUUUAUAGAUCAGGGAAACACCAUGGACUCCAACGAACAUAAAUCAAAUCUGGAUAUAAAUGUAUCAGAUGGUAACUCUCGUAAACUAAUAAACAAUUCAACCUCAGCAAGCAGGUCAACGACUUCCGCCUCACGAAAACGCUCAUCCAAGACAAGAAAAGAAAAGAACAUUUAUGAUCUCUCUUUAAAUCAAUACGUGAGUCUCACAUCCAUGAUAACUCUAUAACAUUAUUUUAUUAGGAUCAUAAUAGUAUUGGAGGGAUAUACAGGUUUGGAAUGGGCGAUAACUAAUUUACAUAAGAAAAGAAGAACAGUUGCAUUAUGGAGAUAAGAGAAGAAGGUUCUAGAUUAAAUCAUUUUAUUUAAUUUAUAUCAUAACAUUCUAUAUUCGUAGUCGAUAUUAAAGAGGGAAAAGCUCUUUUGACUAGUGUAUAAUUCAACUCACAAAUUGAAAUACAAAUAAUAUUAUAAAAGUGUUGGCUGUUUUCUUACCACUUUUCCCAACGCCUUCCAAUAUUUCCAAUGAAUCCUCGGAAUCCCUUCAUUUCAACUUCUACUCUAGUUUCUGACGAAUAUAAUUGUAUUACUAUACAGAGGAAUAUCAAAUAUGAGUUAGGAUCUAAGACACAAAUUUCUCUUUGGAAGAUAUGAAAGACAGUGUUUGGAAUUGAGUCUUUUAUAUAUCUGGCCAUAUAAUCACCUAUAUGCAACCCUCAUUAUAUUAACCUGUUUUUUCCCUCCAAAAGUUUGGAAGUUUUUCAUAUUGUUUAUUCGAAAUAUAGAAAUCAAGCCAUAUA